UACGAAGGGGGCUAGCGUUGCUCGGAAUCACUGGGCGUAAAGGGCGCGUAGGCGGGCUUUUAAGUCAGGGGUGAAAUCCUGGAGCUCAACUCCAGAACUGCCUUUGAUACUGAAGAUCUUGAGUCCGGGAGAGGUGAGUGGAACUGCGAGUGUAGAGGUGAAAUUCGUAGAUAUUCGCAAGAACACCAGUGGCGAAGGCGGCUCACUGGCCCGGUACUGACGCUGAGGCACGAAAGCGUGGGGAGCGAACAGG
rnacentral:rRNA from 1 species